rnacentral:rRNA from 1 species
CCCGCCUGCCCAGUGACACUAUGUUAAACGGCCGCGGUAUUUUGACCGUGCAAAGGUAGCGCAAUCACUUGUCUUUUAAAUGAAGACUAGUAUGAACGGCAUCACGAGGGCUUAGCUGUCUCCUCUUUAAAGUCAAUGAAAUUGAUCUCCCCGUGCAGAAGCGGGGAUACACUCGUAAGACGAGAAGACCCUAUGGAGCUUAAGACAUAAAGUUUAACCCAUGUAAAAUACCCCCUAAAGGAAGAAAACAUAUUGAACCUUACUGAUGUGUCUUCGGUUGGGGCGACCACGGGGAAAAGUAAAACCCCCAUAUGGACCAAGGCCACUACCCCUCAAAACUAGGCCCACAGGCCAAAUUAACAGUACUUCUGACCACAAAAGACCCGGCAUCUAGCCGGUUAAUGGACCCAGUUACCCUAGGGAUAACAGCGCAAUCCCCUCCCAGAGACCUCAUCGUCGAGGGGGUUUACGACCUCGAUGUUGGAUCAGGACAUCCUAAUGGUGCAGCCGCUAUUAAGGGUUCAUUUGUUCAAUGACUAAUAGUCCUACGUGAUCUG